rnacentral:rRNA from 1 species
AGGACGAACGCUGGCGGCGUGCCUAAUACAUGCAAGUCGAGCGAGCUGAAUUCAAAGAUUCCUUCGGGAUGAUUUGUUGGACGCUAGCGGCGGAUGGGUGAGUAACACGUGGGCAAUCUGCCCUAAAGACUGGGAUACCACUUGGAAACAGGUGCUAAUACCGGAUAACAACAUGAAUCGCAUGAUUCAAGUUUGAAAGGCGGCGCAAGCUGUCACUUUAGGAUGAGCCCGCGGCGCAUUAGCUAGUUGGUGGGGUAAAGGCCUACCAAGGCAAUGAUGCGUAGCCGAGUUGAGAGACUGAUCGGCCACAUUGGGACUGAGACACGGCCCAAACUCCUACGGGAGGCAGCAGUAGGGAAUCUUCCACAAUGGACGCAAGUCUGAUGGAGCAACGCCGCGUGAGUGAAGAAGGUCUUCGGAUCGUAAAGCUCUGUUGUUGGUGAAGAAGGAUAGAGGCAGUAACUGGUCUUUAUUUGACGGUAAUCAACCAGAAAGUCACGGCUAACUACGUGCCAGCAGCCGCGGUAAUACGUAGGUGGCAAGCGUUGUCCGGAUUUAUUGGGCGUAAAGCGAGCGCAGGCGGAAUGAUAAGUCUGAUGUGAAAGCCCACGGCUCAACCGUGGAACUGCAUCGGAAACUGUCAUUCUUGAGUGCAGAAGAGGAGAGUGGAACUCCAUGUGUAGCGGUGGAAUGCGUAGAUAUAUGGAAGAACACCAGUGGCGAAGGCGGCUCUCUGGU